UUAAAUACAGUGAAAAGAAAGAGUAAAUGAUAAAGACAAGCGUAGAGAGUUCUUGGUUGGUGAAAAAGAAUCUUGGAUUGUCAUUGAAUACAUCUUGGAGUAGGUGGCUGAAUCAAGUAGGCUAACACGGGAACGCCCGUUAUAGUGUUAGAGUAUGUUGGUACUCGAUGAGGUUGUUAUAGUGAUAUAACAAUAAAUUAAGGUGGUAACGCGAUGGUCUCUCUCGUCCUUAUG
rnacentral:ncRNA from 1 species